rnacentral:rRNA from 1 species
CACGCAGGCGGUUCUGCGCGUUUCGAGUGACAGCGGGUGGCUUAACUGCCCGAGUAUUCGAAAGACGGCAGGACUUGAGGACCAGAGAGGGACACGGAAUUCCGGGUGGAGUGGUGAAAUGCGUAGAGAUCCGGAGGAACACCGAGGGCGAAGGCAGUGUCCUGGCUGGUAACUGACGCUGAGGUGCGAAAGCCAAGGGAGCGAACGGGAUUAGAUACCCCGGUAGUCCUGGCCGUAAACGAUGACCACCAGGUGUGGGAGGGAUCGACCCCUUCCGUGCCGGAGUUAACACACUAAGUGGUCCGCCUGGGGAGUACGGUCGCAAGAUUAAA